UGUGUGUUUCAGAUUUGGCGCAAAUACGAUGCGGACAGCAGCGGCUUCAUAUCAGCUGCUGAGCUUUGCAACUUCCUCCGGGAUCUUUUCCUCCACCACAAAAAGGCUGUUUCCGAGGCUGAACUGGAAGAGUACACCAGCACCAUGAUGAAGAUCUUUGACAAAAACAAAGAUGGCCGUUUGGAUCUUAACGACUUGGCAAGGUGAGUGGUGUCGAAACGGUGGCAAAUUCAGACGUUCCCGUCCACGGGUCUGGU